rnacentral:rRNA from 1 species
GAUGAACGCUGGCGGCGUGCCUCAAACAUGCAAGUCGAGCGGGGCUAUGUAAUAUCGCAAGGUAGAACAUAGCCUAGCGGCGAACGGGUGAGUAACACGUGGGUAACCUGCCUGGAAGACAGGGAUAACGAUUCGAAAGGGUCGCUAAUACCUGAUAAUAUCCUUUCAUCGCAUGGUGAUAGGAAGAAAGGGGAAACCCGCUUUCAGAUGGGCCCGCGUCCCAUCAGCUAGUUGGUAAGGUAAAGGCUUACCAAGGCGACGACGGGUAGCCGGUCUGAGAGGAUGUACGGCCACACUGGGACUGAGAUACGGCCCAGACUCCUACGGGAGGCAGCAGUUGGGAAUCUUAGGCAAUGGACGAAAGUCUGACCUAGCGACGCCGCGUGAGGGAAGAAGGCCUUGGGUUGUAAACCGUCUGUCAUGGGGAAGAAGAAGUGACGGUACCCAAGAGGAAGCCCUGCUAACUACGUGCCAGCCGCCGGCGGUAAACCUACCGUACGUCCUACUACGACGGCGGUCGAC